GAUAGCCUAGUGGACAUGGCAUCUGCCCGGUAAGCGGAACACUGUGGGUUCGAUUUUCAUCCCUUUUCCG
rnacentral:tRNA from 1 species